rnacentral:rRNA from 1 species
UCAGCAGCCGCGGUAAUACGUAGGGUGCAAGCGUUGUCCGGAUUCACUGGGUUUAAAGGGUGCGCAGGCGGCAGCGUAAGUCCGGGAUGAAAUGGCGGGGCUCAACCCCGUCGCUGUCCCGGAUACUGCGGUGCUGGAGUCACAAUGAGGCAGCUGGAAUGGACGGUGUAGCGGUGAAAUGCGUAGAGAUCGUCUGGAACGCCAAUUGCGAAGGCAGGCUGCUGAUUGUGUACUGACGCUCAGGCACGAAAGCGCGGGUAGCGAACAGGAUUAGAUACCCUGGUAGUCCGCGCCCUAAACCAUGGACACUCGCUAUCCGGAGGUUUCCUCUGGGUGGCUGAGCGAAAGCGUUAAGUGUCCCACCUGGGGAGUACGCUCGCAAGGGUGAAACUCAAAGGAAUUGACGGGGGCCCGCACAAGC